ensembl:lncRNA
UUAUUGGUUUAUUAAUAUUAAAUUGAAUCACAGAAUUACAAAACCGAGUAUCACUGCCAUAAAUAGGUUUGGGAAUAAGCACUUGUUUCUGGGAAAGCAGAUGGGUUAACUGGAAGCGAUGUAUGUGGGUAUUCUAAGGAACAUCCUGCCAGACAGGGGUGUUCAGCCCACAGUUUAUGGAGAGCAUGGCAAGCGUGGCUGUUCCGAGAGGGCUCGUUCGGUGCUGGUGGAACAGAGAGCUCAGGCUGUGGUGUGGCUUCCACCACCCUGCAAACUAAGUCCCAUUCACUCCUCCAUCCCCUUUCAACCUUACAGAAAUGUGCUGAACUCUCUCAUCCGUCAAUGACCCCUGCCUCUCUUCCUGUCCUCUGGGUUUAUAUCUUCUCUUUUCCUUACUGUCAUUUUAAGGGGAGGGGGUGUCGAGAGGGAGAAAAGAUGAGCAUUAAAGUUCAAGCUGCCAUUUGUAUCCAGACAAUUCUCUCUUAUUUAAGACUCCCAACAGCCAGUGAGUGUCAGAGCCUAUUAUUAUCCCCACAAAGGUCACACAGCUGUAAGUGACAGAAGCAAGUUUCAAACUCAGGUCUGUCAGAGGCUGUAGUGGAUGCUGUGGUGCUUUGCCCAGAUCCCCUCUCAGGGUCAACACACCAUCGGCCAGCUGCUGGGGCGUUGGUUGCUGGUGGCUCCCUGGAAAUUGCCCUUGGCUGUAGGAACUGCCUCGCCCUGGCGGAAGUCUUUCCUCUGGAGAUCACCGUGGCCCGUGACUGGCUGAUGCAGGGAUAUGAAAGCCCAACCCUACUCCCUCAAUUUGGGACAAUUCUCAGGGGCCCUCCCAGCUCCAAAGCUCCUUGUGGGCUGGACUUCUGUAAAGAGAAACAUCCUCUCGUAAACGAUUUGGAUCCUCUAAGGGUUGAGCACGUGGAUGGUGUCCUGUAGAUGCUUGUUGAUGGCCCAGCCCCUCCUCUCCACCUCCACAGCCACCAGGGAGGAAUAACUGGGCCCUGGAUGUGAUGUGAUGAGUGAAUAUUCCUGAUGAGAAGUGGAAAUAAUUCAUGGUUGAGAGCUGUGCCUCAGAUCAGAGUGACAGGAUACAUGGCCAGGCUAUAUUUUCCAGCAGAUUACGUUAAAAGCUGUGGCCUAAGACUCUAAAGUAUGAAGACAAAAGGAGAAGAUGACACAAUAUCUUUCUAAAGAAAUAUUUUCCAGCCAAACGGUGCAGCAGAUGACUUCUAGGAAUUUGUUCUUGUUCUCUAUUGAAGGUGAGGAAAUGAGGACAUAGAGGCUCAGAGGGUCAGAUGACUUACUGAAGAUGUCAAAUUAACGAGAGUGUGGUGAUCUGCAUUCAGUCUGUCUGGCUAUUUUUUUUCUCAGAGAGAGAGAACUUCCAGCUGCAGUGGAUCAGUUUAAUUCAUGUUAUUUGUUGAGUGCCCUCUGUGUGCUGAGUGCUGUGCUGUCUCCUAUAAAACGUCUCCAACAUUCCUCUUCCUCUUCCCCAGGCUGAGACUACCUUUAUUUCCCCAGCAAUUCCAAUUCUGUCUAGUCUUUAAGGUUCAGCUUUAGCCUGCUCCCUUCAGGAAGUUUGCCCUGAUUACCCCAGGAAUCCCUUCUUUCUGAACCUCUCUUGAGUGCCCCUCAAUUCCAGGAAAGAGUGUGCAGGAAAGAGUGAGAGGCAGAGUGGAUCCUUUUGUUUACCCCCAGGAAUUGACAAUAAGUUUAUAGCUUAGAAAAAGGACACAAAGUCCCCACAUUUUAAAGAGACUGACCAGGAGUCAGGGUGGCCUUCUUCUGGCUGAGAGGCUCCUGGUUAAAAAAACCAGCCCCACUCUGACCUCUUCCCCCUAGAAGAGGAGGAUUGCGAGAGGGAAAAGCUGUUUUUCAUCUCGUUUCCUUGGGGGAGACAAAGGAUUUACCCUCCCUGAGACAAGGCCCCAAGGAAAGGACGGAUUGACAUUUUGUUUCUCCGUUUAACUACCUGGCCUUGCUCUGGUGUAGCAGCAGAAACGCAGAGGAGACAGGGAGUUAUUUGGCCAGAUAAAUGGGGCAAGGACAGCCCUCAUACCAGUUCAGGUCUUGAAUUCCUCACAGUCCUCUGAGUAGAGAUGCAUAGAGAUUAGGGACCUCAUGCAGUGACGGGCAUCAGGAGAAUGAGUUGUGAGACCAUGAUGGGGGUGUCAGCCCAGGAUGAGGCAAAUCUCAGUGGGGAUCACCAGUAUGUAGUGGAGCUGCUUGGAGAGGGCCCUCAUCAGCAGAGUUUGUGAGAGCCUCUCCACCACCCAUAAGGAGCCCAUAGACAACAAACCAGAUCCAUGGUGAGGCACAAUUCGAACACCACCUCACUGUGAGCUGUCACACUAAGAGUCUGCUACCUCCUGCCUUCCUCCUCACACUCCAAUACUAGAGCAGUGAAAGAGGGAAGAGGAGCUGAGUGAGAGCAGACCCUGCCCCAUCGACUCGACCAAGAUCCUUGAAGUGGGUUAGAGAUGGUGUGGGAAGGAGGCAUGGAAUGACAGGGGUGGGGUAGGAAGAGCUUUGAAUCAAACAUAAGAAUAAAAAAAAAUAACUAAAUAGGAUUGAGUCCUAAAGAACCCAAAUGAGACUAGUCUAAUAACUGAAAGUGACUGAAAACUUAUGGCCUCAGACCGAGAGUUUGUUAAGGCAGCCUGCUACCCAGCAGGACAAGGGAGGGUUCAACAGAACACAGUUGGUAGCAGUUAUUGGAAAAAUAAAACUUUCCCAGGUUUAUACCCCAAUGAACUGAAACUCACAGUAAAUCAGUUUCAUACUCAUCCAUUUAGCUACUGUUUGCUGAGCUUCUAGUCUUUGC